ensembl:lncRNA
CUCAUUAGCACACUGGGCUAAGCGCUGGUUCCCCACAUCCAGCAUCUCGGAUUCAAUCCCCGAGAAAAGCCUGACAGAACGACCCGAUCAACAUGGACCCAGCAGGUAGUGCCCAACAGGGAUGCAAGAGGUUGGCGCAGACGUUGAAGAAGCUGCUUCAGCGCGAGCAGGUCUUGCUGCAGCUGCAGAAGGAUCUCGACCGCCAGCAGGAGGAUCUAGCUCGUCGCCAGCAACAACGGGACCAACCUCCCCCGUGGUUCCCACUCUAUGAUGGCAAUCCGGGUGGCUGCAGAGGUUUUCUCCUCAAAUUCGAUCUGGAGUGCAGCCGCCGGCCCAUCACCCUCUCCUCCGACCGCUCCAGAAUUGCCUACAUGAUAAUCUUGCUCUCAGGCAAGGCCUUGGCAUUGGCAACCGCUUUGUGGGAGAAGCAAGGUCCCGAGUGCUCCAGCCUCAGGGCUUUUCAGGCGGUGCUGUUGUGGGUCUACGACCGGGUUAGCAUGGACAGCUUCGAGGCCGCCAUUGCCUCUGCUCUGAAGAGAGAUGCUGCCCUUAACCCUGCUCUCCCGGUGACGGCUGCUGCCGUUCCUGAAGCCGCUAACAGUCCCAGUGCACCAAGCAGCCCGGAGGCCGCCAGUCCGGAUGCCGCAGUCUUAGAUGCUGCCAGCCCGGAGGCCGCCAGCCCGGAUGCCCCAGUUCCGGAAGCCAGCAGCCCGGAUGAGCCUGACAGCCUGAAUGCUGCCAGCCCGGAUGAACCAGGCAGCCCGGAUGCCGAAGCCCCAGAUGCCGCCAGCCUGAGUGAGCCAGGUAGGCCGGAGGCCGACAGCCCGGAUGAGCCAAGCAGCCUUGAGGUCGACAGCCCGAAUGCUGCCAGCCCAAGUGAACCAGGCAGCCCGGAUGCCGACGCCCCAGAUGCCGCCAGCCCGAGUGAGCCAGGUAGUCUGGAGGCCGACAGUCCGGAUGAGCCAGGCAGCCUUGAGCCUGACAGCCUGUAUGCUGCCAGCCCAAGUGAACCAGGCAGCCCGGAUGCCGACGCCCCAGAUGCCGCCAGCCCGAGUGAGCCAGGUAGUCUGGAGGCCGACAGUCCGGAUGAGCCAGGCAGCCUUGAGCCUGACAGCCUGUAUGCUCCCAGCCCUGGUGAACCAGGCAGCUCUGAUGCUGCCAGCCGCGGCGAACCAGGCAGCCCCGAUGCCUCCAGCCCCGGUGAACCAGGCAGCCCCGAUGCCUCCAACCCCGGUGAACCAGGCAGCCCCGAUGCUGCCAGCCGCGGCGAACCAGGCAGCCCCGAUGCCUCCAGCCCCGAUGCCUCCAGCCUCGGUGAACCAGGCAGCCCCGAUGCUGCUGCCGACCCGGACUCCGCUGCCGACCCGGACCCCGCAGCCCCGAUGCUGCUGCCGACCCGGACUCCGCUGCCGACCCGGACCCCGCAGCCACCCCCGCUGCCGACCCGGACCCCGCAGCCGCCCCCGCUGCCGACCCGGACCCCGCAGUCUCCGCUGUCGACCCGGCCCCCGCAGUCUCCGCUGCCGACCCGGACCCGGCAGUCUCCGCUGCCGACCCGGACCCCGCAGUCUCCGCUGCCGACCCGGACCCCGCAGCCUCCGCUGCCGACCCGGACCUCGCAGCCUCCGCUCCAGGCGCCCCUGUCCUGAGCGCCCCUGUGCUGAGCGCCCCUGUCCCGAGCACCCCUGGUGCCCCUGUCCAGAGCGCUCCUGUCCUCCUCCCAGGCAUCUGUGUUCCUGCCCCUGUUCCAGGCGUUCCUGCCCCAGGCGCUCCUGGUCCUGUCCCAGGUGUCCCUGUCUCCAGUGUCCUAGGUGCUGCGACUGCCCCAGCCACUAGUCCUGCAACCCCAACCGUCGCUGACCCAGCAACCCCAGCCACAGCUGGUGCUGCAACCCCGACCUCAUCCUCUGACUGCGUCUUCGCGAGCCUGGCCAAGGGGAUGAUUCUUGUUCUCGUCGGUUCCAACAAGGCCCCCAGGCGUCUGUCAGACCCUUCGCCUCAUUCUGGUCGCCCGCCCGGCCACCCACCAGACACUCUGCCCCUGCUUGGCCGCCCGCCCGGCCGCCCACCAGACACUCUGCCCCUGCUUGGCCGCCCGCCCGGCCGCCCACCAGACACUCUGCCCCUGCUUGGCCGCCCACCAGAUACUCGGUCCUGGUUCGGCCGUCCACCUGGCCGGCCACCUGACCCUUGGUUCCUGCCCUCCGGCCUUGUCCUUAACCCCCUCCACCCACCCUUUAUGGACUUUUGGAGUUUUCUUUGGGCCGUCUGGAAGCCGACCCUUAGAGGGGGGGUUCUGUCACGACUUCGGGCAACCAUUUGGCACAUUGGCGGCCUCUGGUGGCCAAAGGACAUCAUGAACUCAUUUGUGUCCACAUGUGCCUUUGUUGUCUUUGUGUGCCCUCACCUGUUCCCCAUUGUGAUUGGUGUUCUCACCUGUUCCCCAUUGUGUGCUCUCA